CAGUAGCCGCGGGAAUACGGAGGGUGCAAGCGUUAAUCGGAAUUACUGGGCGUAAAGCGCACGCAGGCGGUCUGUCAAGUCAGAUGUGAAAUCCCCGGGCUUAACCUGGGAACUGCAUUUGAAACUGGCAGGCUAGAGUCUUGUAGAGGGGGGUAGAAUUCCAGGUGUAGCGGUGAAAUGCGUAGAGAUCUGGAGGAAUACCGGUGGCGAAGGCGGCCCCCUGGACAAAGACUGACGCUCAGGUGCGAAAGCGUGGGGAGCAAACAGGAUUAGAUACCCCUGUAGUCCCUGUCUCUUAUAC
rnacentral:rRNA from 1 species